rnacentral:rRNA from 1 species
CCUACGGGCGGCAGCAGUGGGGAAUAUUGGACAAUGGGGGGAACCCUGAUCCAGCCAUGCCGCGUGUGUGAAGAAGGCCCUCGGGUUGUAAAGCACUUUCAGUGAGGAAGAACGCCUGGUGGUUAAUACCCAUCAGGAAAGACAUCACUCACAGAAGAAGCACCGGCUAACUCCGUGCCAGCAGCCGCGGUAAUACGGAGGGUGCGAGCGUUAAUCGGAAUUACUGGGCGUAAAGCGCGCGUAGGUGGCUUGAUAAGCCGGUUGUGAAAGCCCCGGGCUUAACCUGGGAACGGCAUCCGGAACUGUCAAGCUAGAGUGCAGGAGAGGAAGGUAGAAUUCCCGGUGUAGCGGUGAAAUGCGUAGAGAUCGGGAGGAAUACCAGUGGCGAAGGCGGCCUUCUGGACUGACACUGACACUGAGGUGCGAAAGCGUGGGUAGCAAACAGGAUUAGAUACCCGUGUAGUC